rnacentral:ncRNA from 1 species
UAGCCUAAGGCUAAGUCGGAGGUGGAUACUAUUAACAUUGUCCCUAUCUACUAUCUAGCGAAACCACAGCCAAGGGAACGGGCUUGGAAAAAUCUGCGUGGAAAGAAUACCCUGUUGAGCUUGACUCUAAUUCUGGCAAUUGUUCGGAGAACAUGCCGAGGUGUAUCAUACGUGGGGAGACCCGGACCAAGGCGGGCCGGUUUCGGUCGUUCUUCUCCGGGCCCGACC